CCAAUGACAGCAACAAGUGCGAGCCACUCGUGGUAAGGUGGGUCAUUCCUCCACCAAUCUAGGAUUUGGUACUUUGCAACAUGCAAGCUAUGUGAACUUCUUUUACACAGUCCAUGCAUGGGAGGCAAAGGCUUAACACCUGUGGCCCAAACUGUGGCCAAUAAUUAUGUUGUUUUAUAUGAACUAUCUGCCAAAUUUAUAAAGAUACUUCUGUUACUACGAAUAGGUUCGAGAGGAGGUAUUAAAGCUCAUAAUGCCAAAAUCCAAAGGAAAAAGUGAGAGCACAAAGAACUUGACUGUAACUUCAUACACAAAAGACAAAUGAAGGCCAAGAUUGUGGAGACAGAAACAACAGCUCAAGUGUAUGCAGCUCCGCCUGUAACCUUCAACGGUUAGAGUCCACUUUGUGUAAGAUAUAGUUA